rnacentral:rRNA from 1 species
UACGUAGGGUGCAAGCGUUGUCCGGAAUUAUUGGGCGUAAAGAGCUCGUAGGCGGUCUGUCGCGUCGGAUGUGAAAUCCCUCGGCUUAACCGAGGAACUGCGUCCGAUACUGAAAGGCUUGAAUCCGGGAGAGGGAUGUGGAAUUCCAGGUGUAGCGGUGAAAUGCGUAGAUAUCUGGAGGAACACCGGUGGCGAAGGCGGCAUCCUGGACCGGCAUUGACGCUGAGGCGCGAAAGCUAGGGGAGCAAACGGG